AAAAAACAGAGGCUUGUGAAAGGCCACUUCUGGUCACACUGCUGGACCCUGCACUUGGAGUUGUCUGGCAACAAAGUAUAGAUUCUUGGCAACUCUGCCAAGCUGCAGGCUGCCUGGCUCAGCGUUUAAGUGGCUCACGAACACCCUUUCCUCUCAUUUGUAAGCUGUGUCGGGGACCCUGCAUGGCAGGAGCCAGUGAGGGAUUCUGCCACUGCCACUGACUCAGAGUUGCAUUUGAGAUACCACAGGGACUUCUGGAUCUCCUUCAGUGUGGAGGCUUCUGGGCAAAGCCCCCACCUCCAAGCUGUCUCAGAUAUAGGCCCUGCUUGGUCUCCUUCUUCCAAACUUGCUGCCACUAAAAAUAGGAGCCUCACUGGAGCUGCUCAAAGAGGCCAGUGUGCCCCCCUGGCUCACGGAAUUCUUAGACAACAGCCAUUGCGCACAGCCAUCAAAUCUGGGACACUCAGAAUUUCAGAAACAGGACACCUGGGACCCUCAGACCCACAUCUCUAGGCUGUGCUGGGACUGGUUAGCCACUGAUUGGUCACUUUCUCCUAAUAAGCUGUCGUCUGUGACUUGUGUCUA
rnacentral:lncRNA from 1 species